AGCCGGGGAGAGUGCUGGCUGAGGUUGUAGUUGACUCUCGUUGUGACGGCCUCAAAAUGAGAGAAUUUUGUGAUUUUUGUUAAAUUUUGAGUUGAUGGGGCAGUGGACACGUGUGCAACAUGGAUUAUGAUGAGAGCAGCUUGUCUUUGGGCAGACGUUCAAGUAAAAUUCCUCCGCCAGUGCCAAAAAAGAAACCCAGGAAAGAUGUUGUUACUGUUUCAGAACUUAGAUGUAACACAGGCUCUCAAGAAUCAUUACUCUCCGACUCCUUCCUUGAUAUUCCAGUCGACGAGUUAAUUUUGUGUGAUGACUUAACAAGAUUACCAAUUUUGUAUGAUGAUAUAGUUCUAGAGUGUGUGUGCUUAAGAUAUUGUGAGAAACUUUUCUACACCUGGGCUGGUCCAACACUGGUAGCAGCUAACCCAUGCCGUCUAGUUGACUACCUUUAUACAUCUUCGCAGAUAAAACAUCAUCAUAAUCAGGUUAAGAGUGGGGUAGACAGGCGUGAUGCACAUGUGUACAGUAUUGCUGGAGUUGCUCAUCACCGUCUCACUCAUGAUCUUGGCCUUGUCAAUCAAGCUGUUUUGGUUUCUGGAGAAAGUGGAGCUGGAAAGACUGAAUCUGCACGUUACAUGUUGGGAUACUUGACGCAUGUUGAAACAAAAUUUUUGCAAGUUCCGCGAUCGCCACUUAAAGGUGUAUGGGAAGACAUGGAACCUACAGAUAUCCAGAAUAAGAUCUUGGCUUCGAAUCCCAUCCUUGAAGCAUUUGGUAAUGCUGCAACAAUUCGCAACCACAACUCCAGCAGAUUUGGCAAACUUAUCCGUCUACAGUAUGGAGGCCAGCAGUUGCGAGGGGCUGAGAUUGAUACUUACUUACUUGAGAAAACCAGGGUGACUCACCAGACGGAAAAUGAACGUAACUUCCACAUAUUUUACCAGGUGUUAUCAGGUGUCAGAUCGGGGCUGCUAAAAGACUUGUUUGAAAGUGAAGAGACCUACAACAUACUGCUGGGAGAGGCAACUUCGUCUGACCUUGCUAAUUUACAAGAGACGUUGCAUGCAUUCCAGCAGCUGAAUUUUUCAAGGAGCCACCAGAAUGAAAUAUUUAAGGUUAUAGCAGCGUUACUUUACUUGGGGAACAUCACUUUUAUUCAAGAAGAGGGACAAACUAAUUGGACUGUAAAUAAAGCAAGCACAGAAUGUGUGAGGAGCUUACAAGGAGCUUGUGUAUUGCUGGGGUUACAUGAGGACCAGCUGGUUAAUACUCUAACAGUCCAUACCUUCAGUGUUAGUAGUGCCCAGAAGGUUAGUGUGUUUCAUAAGCCAUGUGAACGUAGGAGGCAAUGUGUAGAGCGCCGCGAUGCUUUAAUGCAGCUCAUAUACCAGUGUCUGUUUAUUCACAUAGUUAACUUCAUCAACGACAAAAUCAGAGCUGACAGGACUGUCUGGUCACAUUUUUUAGGGAUUUUGGAUGUGUAUGGAUUUGAAACAUUCGAGCAAAACAGUCUUGAACAGUUAUGCAUUAAUUAUGCCAAUGAGAGACUACAGCAAGCAUUCACAUUUAGAUAUCUUUCUGCUGAACACCAGAUGCUCAAAGAAGAAGGUUUACUUGGCAUGGAUGUACCCUAUACUGAUAACUCUAGCUGUGUUAGGGCUCUUGAUUCCCGCAUUUCAGUCUUUGCCAUUCUCAAUGAGGAGUGUCAGUUGAAGCGUGAUGUGAAGGAGGAUGAGGCAUGUAACCGUGUGUGCAAGGCUCUAGAGCACACCGGGUUAGUGUGUGCUCCAUCCUCCCCCAAACACACACCUGGCUUUGUCAUCUGUCACUAUGCUGGACCUGUCAAGUAUGAUGCAGAAGGUCUGCUACACAAGAAUAAGGAUGAGGUUCCCCAAGAGGUCUGGGGUCUGUUAGCUGGAAGCAGCCAAGAUUUUAUUGGUAAAUUAACAGUUGGAACACAUGGUGUGGACAUUGAAGCUGGAAGACGUACAACACGCAAAAUCACCACCCUCUCAAAGUUCAAGUCAUCUGUGGAUACAUUAAUGAAAACAUUGUCUCAGUGUGAUUUACACUAUGUACGUUGUAUAAAGCCCAGUGAGGGAGCUUUGACAGGCAUGGUUGAUCGUGAGUAUACUCUUCAUCAGCUGAAAGCCUGUGGCGUUAUUGAAACUGUCUGCAUUAGUCAGGCUGGCUAUCCAGUUAGAAUGUGCUAUGCUGAUUUCUAUGCACGGUAUGGAGGAUCAAGAAUAGAAAGAGAUGUUGCUGCUUCAAGUAUUGCACUUGCUAGAUCUAUUCUUGGAACAUCUGCUGAAGGAGAUAUUGAUACAGCCAAGUGCAGAUUUGGCUAUACCCGAGUGUUUCUCUCCGAGAGUGCUCUUCACACUUUAGAAAAAGUUAGAGAGGAAAAGAGAAACCAAGCUGCCACUUGCCUUCAAAAAUGUUGGCGGAAAUAUAGUUGUCAGAAAAAGUACAAAAGAUGUAAAGCUGCAUCUUGUCUGAUUCAAAAAAAUGUGAAAUCUUGGUUAACCAGGUUGAAAUACAAAAAGAUCAAAUAUUCAUGUUUGCUUAUUCAGAGAAAUGUGAGAAGAUUCAUCACACGCAAAAAAUAUCUGAGACUGUAUAAAGCUACACUAACAAUACAGAGAUACUUCAGAGGUUGGGCAACAAGGCGAAAAUAUGAAGCAGCAAUGCAGCCAAUGGUGAUGCGACCAGUCUCAAGACAAUCUGUUAUGUCUAUGAAUAGCCUUGACUAUUACAGCUUAACUACAUCAGUAUCAAUACACAGCUUAAACCCAUCAUUGCUUGAUACAAGUCCUUGUGAAGGUGUAAUGGGGGACACAGGAGCAUUUAGCUUGACUGGAGAAGCACUAAAGGCAUAUUUGUCUCCUGAACACCACCAAAGACUUCUUGAGACUGAGGAAUCUGGCAUCGAGACCGAUACAGAGAGUAUUAAUGGAGAUGCGAGUCAUGUAGGAUACAGAAGGUCACGUAAACUCCGUCGGAGAUCACAAUUAAAUGAACUAAUGGAAGAAAGAAGCAAGGCCAAAAUGCAUCAUACAGCCAGUGAUGAAUCCUUAGCAGACAUUAUGAGUAAGCCUGUUAGUUCAAGCCCAAAGUUGAAAAAUUCAAAUUGCAAGUCUCAUAAUGUGGCAAAAAUGACUAUUACAAGCCCAAAGGAUUCAGAAAAACCAACAAAUGCAGCAAAAAAGGCAUUCUCCGGCACACUUUCCAAGAAUAUAAAGCAUUUAUCUGAUGAAAAGGUGAAAGAAGCAAAACCUCUUCUUCAAACCAGUGUCCAGAGGAUGAGAGUUGCUACUAUGCGGACAUUUCAAGAAAUCUCUGGGAUUCUGAAAGAUUACUCUCCACCUGAAAGUUUGCAGAUGGUCCUGUCAAAACAGAAUACAUCGCUUUUCUUCAGAGAUGGAGUGCUGUCUUACAGACGCAUGCCUGUCAUUGCCAUCAAAUUCCACACCCGUCCGACUUGCUUGCCAUUUUCCCACAACCUUCCUCAUCUUGAGCAGCCACAAGGCUUGUGGGACGCCGUGCAUUAACCGCUGCUCACACACCACUACUUCCAGAGCUAUGAGAAAUCAGCACUGUUCACCUUUAAAGAUAUGCUUUGUAUGAAAACCACCACCAAAUAAGUGACAGGCAGCUAAUCUAUGAUCUACUUUUUAUAAAUUGUUGAAGAAGAUGCUCCCUUAAAUUCUACCUGUUUGAGUAUAUCAAGUCUCAAGUAAAUAUUACUACUGUUUUUAGUUGUAUAAAUGAGAUUGUUUUAUUUCGAGCUUUCAUGAAUUAAUAUAAUUAACUGCAAAGAAACAUCAAUGUGGUUAUAAUUAAGGUGUUGCCAAUAUUAAGGGUGAGAUCAACAGUUGAAUUUUGGUAUACAAAGCCUUUAAACAUUAUGCCAGUCCCUUCAUGACUAGAGGAAUUGGAGCUACCUUCCCUUUCCUUGGAAGAAACUUGAUUUUCUGCCAUUCUUGUAUGACCCCAACUUGUUUAAUGCUCCCAUGAUUAUUGUGUUAUUUUUCAUUUUUUUUUUUUUUUUUUUUUUUUUUUUUUUACACAUUUAACCCAAGGAUAAAAUGUUUUGACUUCACUAUUACUGUUGGCAGUGUCUCUUAUUAACCUAAGCAUGCAGUUGAUUGAAUGUGACCUCUGUGAUGAAGAAGAGACCCAUUGCAGAACAAGCUUUAUGGAACAUUUCCCUCUGUGUAGAUAUUUCAAGUCAUGCAUUACUGCAUGAAGCUUUAAACAGCGAAACACUUAACCCCCCUCCCCCACCUAAUAAAAAAAAAGCUUUUUUUGCAACUAUUUUUCACUAUUGUUGGCAGUACACUAUUUAAAUCCUGCCUUCGUAAUUAUUAUACUUGAGUAGUGAUGAUUAAGUCUCGUGCAAUUGCAGCAUCAUUCCUGUUUUACUUAAAUUAAAAUUUAAGUCUUGUGUACGAAAGAUGUUAUUUGUUCUAAUUUGUGAGUUUAUUUUUUUGCAAUAUUCCUAGUCAGAGGACAUUAAUAUAUUUAUUAAUUCUAUAUAGUUCUGCAUGGUCCUGAUGAAAAUGUAUUCGUUUCAAGAGUAAUUCACAACCAAGAUAUGUAAUAAUGAUGAUAGUCUACAGCUAUAAUAGACAACUGUUUUAUACAAUAUAACUUCAGCUUACAACAGUGUUUGCUGUGCACUUAGCAUCAAAGGCUAAAGUUCCUCAUACUCUCAUUCUACAUUAUUAUUAUUAUAAUCAAAAAGAAGCGCUAAGCCACAAGGGCUAUACAGCCCAUUCUACAUGAAUAACCAUGAUCUUGGCUUUCAUAAUAUAUUUCAAUACUCAAAGAAUAUUGCCACUACAUUUAGGGAAGUUUUACUGAUCAAAGGGAUUGCAGCUACCGUUCCCUUCUCAGUUGCCAGGCAAUGUGUAGCCUUUGUGGACUCAGUGCUUCCCCUUUAAUUAUAAUCAAAUCAAGUGCUAAAUGUGUAGGUCAUACAUCAUUUCCCUAUUGGUAUAAUAAAUCCAUAUACAUUAAGUUACCAGCAGGUUAUUUGUAUGUUGCAUCUUAUUUCAAUUUCUGUGGAAAAGGACGCUCGUGUACAAUUCAGGACAUUUGUUAAUGGAAAUAUUUCACCACAAGUGACUUCUUCAGUCCUAAUGGACUGAAGAAGCCAUUUAUGGCAAAACAUUUCUAUUAAUAAAUGUCCUGAACUGUACACAAGUGUCCUUUGCCAGUUUACUGGAAUACUAACAGUACCUUCUAGCCUUUUCUAUGGGAGUACCUUAAUGCUGGUAAAGUACUCUUGAACCAAGGAAUUUGAGCUACCUUCUUCCUUGGAUCAAACCUGGUUACAUACCAUUCCUCAAGCACUGCAUGACCCCUACGAGUUUAGCACUUCUUUUUAAUGUUAUAACAGAAAAAUGUACACAUUAACAAAGCACAUUAAUAAUGUAUAAAAUAGCUCAUAAUAAAUCCCAAUUUAACUUUUAUGGCUAAGGUUUAAUUAUAUACAAAUAACCUGCACAUAGGAGAGAAGAGCUUAGGACAACAAAUCGGUCUGACCUGAUAUCUCCUCUACAGGUUCUGUCUCUUAUUCUGCAAAAACAGUGAUUAUGUGCGAGUGAGGUGAAAGUGUUGAAUGAUAAUGAAAGUAUUUUCUUUUUGGGUCACCCUGCCUUGGUGGGAGACGGCCGACUUGUUAAAAAAAAAAAUCAUGUAAACAGUGCAUUAUUAUUAUUCUAGUAAAGAAGCGCUAAACCUACAAGGGUCAUACAGCGUAAACAGAACAGAGAACAUUUAUUUACAGUGUAUUAUUAACUACACUUUAAGAAAAACCAAAAUUUAUAAAAAAAAAUACUUUGAAUAUCAUGGUCUGUUCUAGAAUACAUUUAUUUAUGCAAAAGUAUAAGACAUCUGUUCCUUCAAGGGCAAAGUCUUGAUCCACACAACUGAUCUUGUCUUUUCCUUCCUUGGAGCAACCCGUAAUAUAUGACGUCCAUAGAUUUAGUGCUUCCUCCCAUUAAAACAAGUAGAAUGCUUAUUAUUAAAAUCAGACUUCUUUAAUUGAUUCAUUAGUGUUGCUUCUAUAUUUAUAAUAUGUGUGGUAAAUUUAUUUUAUGCUCCUAAAUAGUUCUUUCUGUAUUUCAGUAUCUGGAGGUUUUAACAUAUUUCAAAUAAUGAAUGAAUUGUACCAAGUAAUUUCUGUUCUUAUAAUCUUAAAGCACUAAAUCUGUAGGGAUCAUACAGUACCUGAGGCAAUGGGAGGCAGUUGGGUUCAAUCUAAGGAAGGAUGAGCUCUAUUCCGUAGAUCAAGAAUCCCCUCACUGGCAUCAAGGCACCUCCUUGGAGAGAAUUAAUUUCUGUAGUCUUGAAAAAUGAAAACGGUUUGUACCUAGACACUGUGGUAAAAACUAUGAUAUUUAGUGAAAGACAAACUUAUCAGGUUGUAAUAUACAAAAACAGAUACAUGGCUUUACAAAGCAAAUGAGAACCCUGAGGUCAUGCUCAGGAGAGGUCACAAGUUAGGAAACAUGAGAGGUCAUGAUGAGACAGAUAACUCAGACUAUACCUGUUUUUAGGUGCCAGUGUGUUAGGGCAAUGGGAAGUGUAGGGCAGGUCCACAGGAAGUAUUUUCAUUUUAAAAGAAGGAAGUUGAAAGUGAAUGUAGAAAAGAGCAAGGUUAUGAGGAUAACCUGAAGUCUGGGCAACGAUAGAAUGAAUAUCAGAUUGGAGGCAGUAGUAUAGAGGAAAUGAAUGCACUGUAUUUAGAUAUUAAGGAGUGGACACGAUAGCGAAGAGGUGUACCACAGAAUUGAUGCGAGUAAAAAAGUAGGCAGGGUGUUGAGGCAUCUGUGGAAAGUGAUAAAAAAAAAAUGGAGUAUAGUGGUACCAAUAUUAUAUGGGUGUGAGUUAUGGCUUUGAAUGCUGCUGUUAGAGGGCUGAAGGCAGGGGAGAUGUCAUGUUGGAGAGCAGUAUGUUUACCUGGAGAGAGUUCCGGGGGUCAAUGCCCCUGCGGCCCGGUCUGUGACCAGGCCUCAUGGUGGAUCAGAGCCUGAUCAACUAGGCUGUUACUGCACGCAAAUAUUGUGCUGGAAAUUUAGAGUAGAAAUUAAAGGUGAUGCAAAGUCACUAAAGGUAUUAUUCAGAGGGCUGAAUUCACCCCUCAGUGCUGUCUCAGCCAACUUUUACCUCAAACACCUAGAAAGACCACUUCAAGAACAUCCCAUGCAGCAUCAUAUGGCUUAUAUAUGUUGACAACAUUUUGGUCAUUAAUUAAAGAAUCUGGAACCAUCGUUACCAAUUUAAAGACACAUUCAGGUAAGUAGAGCCCACCAUAGUUUAUUCUUUAGGAAGAAAACAUGACAAUAACCCCCCUCUCCCCCCUUUUUUUUUUAUAACCUCAAGAAAGGAUUAGAUUUUUGCUGCUGAAGCAGCUAGUUUAUUGUACACCCUAUAUCCAUCCUGUGGAUGGUAGUGCAAGAGCGUAUAGAUACACAAAAGCCUAGGAAUUAGGCGCCCGAAAGGUUGACAGGGGUACAUCUGGAUUUGUAUCUACAGCUCGCUUAUCUAUUGCAAGCAAAUAUAGCAGUCCCUACACUUCGAAGAGUACCACUGCUGCUAGGGUUUACAGCAUUCUGUGUGGAGGAUGUAGUAAAAUAUAUAACUGUGGUGCAGACUGUGAUCUUCAGACUUGCCUGCAAGAAUACUUACAGGAUGGACAAAAUCAGCAAAGCAUAUGUCAUUCAUUGCAAUCUACACACACAGCUUGGAAUAAGGAGCAGCACAACAGUUAUACCAUAAGGAUAAAACCGGACACAGGAUUGUAGAAGCAACUAUUGUACAUUAAUCUGCCACUAACAAAACAAGGAAAUAUGCACAUUGACAGGACUUUUGGUGCAUAAUGUAUAUAGUUUAUGUAGUAAAAGUAUUUCAUGUGGAUUUGCCCCUGUGCCCCCUUCUCUGUCGCCCAUAUUUCAUUGCAACCUGAAAUUAUACACCUUUAAGUAGUGUAUGUCACUUGCGACCUCUCCUGAAGUUGAUUUCAGGGCACUCAUUUGCCUUAUAAGGCCAUUCAUCUGUGUUUUUGUAUACUUCAAGUCCUGGACAAAACAUCUUUUUUAAGGUUUCACCAUAAAAGAUGUCUUUCUCACUAUGUACCUGUUUAAAUAUGCAGUCAUCCAUCUAGGUUGUACUUCAAUGACAGGUUGAUAGUUAUGCACUUGUGUUGUGAAUCAUUUUUUCAUCUGGAAACAAAUAGAAUUUUUUGUAAAAUGUAUAACAAACCAUAAAUAAUUUAGUAAUGUUCUGUAUAGUAUUUGACAUACAAUUUGAUACAAGGUAUUAUCAGAAUUAACUAUGGAACAGCCCAGGGUGCCAGUACAUUCAUAUCAAGCAAAGCAGUAUAUUCUAUUAUAUAAAAAUCUUUCUGAAUAUUUUCUGUUACACAAACUUUUAUAAAAUUAGUUUAGACUCUUUAGUGGCGAGAUUUUUAUUUACCUUACACCUGAAAAGUUAUUGACUUUCUAUACAUCUGCUUGUGCCAAUAGUGUAAGCUGAGUGUUGACAUGGAGAGACGUGCUCAUAUUAGUAUGAAUAUACAGUAUUUGUUAAAAAUUUCAGAUUCUUUAUAUACUAUAUAUGUAAUUUAAUUUGAUUUUUCUAAGACUGUGCUUUAAAUUUACAUGGGGUAGCCAUUUAAAUUAAGGUAACUUCUCAGAUCCCUAAAAUAUAAAACACAGUCCCUUUGUUGUACUCAUAUUAUUUGUAUUAUUUUAGUAUUUGCCUAGGGUAUAUAUUCUAUAGGGACAACUUUUGUAUUUGCUUGAAAAUAAGCUUCAUUUUUGCCUCUGUUUAAAAAGCUUUCCUGACUAAGCUCACUGUUGUUCAUUUACAGCAGCAUUCAGAUUAGUAUGUUUAAAGUGGCCCUGUGGCUUCUUCUCCAUACUACGUCAUUUAUUUAUGCCUGUUCUGUGAAGGACAGGUUGCCUUUGCUGGAGUAGAAUAUAACCCUAUUUUUAAUGCUCUUAACUUCAAAGGGCAACUGCUGCAGGGUGCUUUCAUUUUUACUUCAAACUGCUAGGCACUUCUGCUGUUUCACAUUGUCAGUGUUGCAAGUACUGUGUGUACUCUACCCUAGAUUGUGAUUAUUCACAUUCCCUUGUUCGAAGUAAUCAGCAUUGGCUGUGCUGCAUCUUCAGCAAACACAAAAUCAUCCUUCUCUGGUCCCUAAUUAUUCCUGUUAUUACCUAUUUGUGGCUACAGGAGUAGAGUUAUACUCCUGGGUUUCCCAUUAAUAUUUUUGUAUUUUUAAAUUUCCAGUAGUUUUAGCACUUGCUACUUCUCUUAAAUCAUUCCAUUGGUCAAGUACAGUGAAAAUUUUUCAAAUAUCCCUUUUGCUUUACUUUUAAAUCAAUUUCUAACUGUAGUUCAUUCAUUCAUUAGUGAUUUGCCGGUACUUCCAGCCCGGGUCUUCUCCAGAUGGCGACCCGGCGGUGGCCCCCGUCUAACUGUAGUGUUUAAGGCCAUGAGCAUACCGACUAACACCCUUUGCUGUAGUGCUACAUGACCCAUGUGGGUUGAUUGCUUUUUUGUAUGUAAUAAUAAUUUGCCAGUUGGAGCCUACAGAAAGUUUAGCCUUAAAGUUUAUUUAGUGAAGCUUGAUGAUGUAGUUCUUAAACAUGGCCAGAGGUGAGGAUUGUAUUUUACAUACAGUAAUUAUGAUUUUUACAGUUAAUACUAUUUUGUUUUUACUAGCAAUACUAAUAUUUAAAAAUACAAUACAUUAAUAGGCAGUAACAAACAUAAUUUAAUCUUUUGUAGUAUGGAGUGAGACAUGUUUAAAUAUUGGUUUAAAUGUUUAGACACUCAACAUAAUAUCAGUCUGGUGUUUAAAGCUUCCAUAUUCAAUUUGAAUAAGUGUAGUACUUUGACAAAUGUUAGGUUGAUAUCUUUGCUAAGAUUAGUAAUAAGUAUUCCUCCAUUGUGAUGGAUACGACACCAAAGAUACACGGCUAAUAUUGGCCAAUUCUGUAUCUUUUGAUGGUGAUUGUUAGCAUUGUGUAUCAGUGAUGCUAGCAUAGAAAAGUUAACCUAUUGGUAAUGACCAGGAGAGUUCUACUGAGUGCACAGAAAAAUCAAACAUUAUAAUCUUGCAUUUGCAGUACAUUUUAAGUUGAUGGUUGUGGAAAUUGACUGCUUAUCCAUCAUACAGUAUUUAGAAAAUUGUGUUUUAUGCUCGUUAUUAGAUGAUGCUUUGCCCCAAGUAAGAGCUUUUAUGCUAUUAUAAUCAAAAAGAAGUGCUAAACCUAUAAAGGUCAUACAGCACUAAGAGCUUUAUAGCAUAAAUUAUAAAGCUCUGUUUAGGUCAAAACAUUGUCUAAUGUUUCACCCUGGAGUAUAUCAGAUAGAGCAAAUGUCUGUUGGUUGGACUGCUGUAUAUAAAUGUACUGUAAAGUGAGCUGGUAAUGUACAUGUACCAAAAUUCAGUGGCAAAAUAAAAUUCAAAUACUUCGCA